AUUGCUUGGUCACUUCUCCCAUUCUUUUUUUGUUUUGUUUUUAAGAGACAGGGUCUUGCGCUGUCUCCCAGGCUGGAGUGCAGUGACAAUCAUGGCUCACUGCAACAUCGAAUUCCUGGACUCAAGUGAUCCUCCUGCCUCAGCCUCCCAAGUAGCUGGAACUACAGGUGUGCACCAUCAUGUCUGGCUACAUUUUUUGUUUUUUGUUUUGUUUGUUUUAUGUUUUUUUGUUUUUUUUUUUUUUUUUGGUGGAGACAUGGUCUUUUUAUUAAUAUAUUGACCAGGCUGAUCUCGAACUCCUAGCCUCAAAUGAUCCUCCCGCCUCGGCCUCUCAAAGUGCUGGGAUUACAGGCUUGAGCCAUCACACCCAGCCCUCUCAAGCUUCUUGAGAAAAGGAAGUGUGUCUUGCUUUCCAUUACAUCCCCAGCACCAAAAACAAAGUCUGGCACAUAGUAGACACUCAAGCAGAUAAAGGAACAAGUAAAAGUAUGUAAAGUAACACAAGCCAAGGAAAUUUUCCCCAUUUUGUUAUUAAUAAUAUUUUUUAAUGCUCAAUGUGUUUGGCUUUCCUUUUUUAAUAGCCUUAUAAUCUUAGGUUACCAAUAUAUAUAAAAUUACAUAAAAGAAAAGAAAAAUACAAAUAUUUAGCUUACUUGUCUUAUUUAAAUGCAAACAUAAGCAUGUUUCUUCUCCUGAAAACUAAUAGUGGACUAUUCUUUCAAACUAAAGGUACUCUUAUCUAUUCAUAGACAUUUCAGUGCAAAUACACUUUGAUAUGUAACAAAAAGGAAAUCCUGAAAGAUUAUAGGUAAGCAUAUUUUAGGAAUAAUAUCAAUAUUGAAUGUACCACAGGAACUUCUGCCCCUCCUAUAGGAACACUGGCUUUGUAUAAAGUGAUUGAUCAUUCUCUUUAGUUUUACAAACCUGAAUUUUGAUGUACAUUAUUGGGCUUUCUUAAGGUAGAUACAGUCAUGGAACACUAAAAACUAAGAAAGAGUUCAGGCUUGUGAAGAAAAGAAGGCUAAAUUUGGAAGCUACAUAAUGAAGAAUAUUCUCCUAACCCUGUCUUGACUUAAAU
rnacentral:lncRNA from 1 species